CUUCCCCAAGGCCUUAAGGCAAUACAGCGAUUUAUAGGCUUUGCCAAUUAUUAUCGGAGGUUUAUUAAAACCUUUUCAUCAGUUAUUUCUCCUAUCACGAAACUGACUAAAAAGGGUUUGCACCCCAGGGUUUGGACUCCUGAAGCCGUUAAAGCCUUCGAGAAUCUCAAAAAGGCAUUUGCCACUGCCCCUGUGCUACACCAUCCUGAUCCUUCCCUUCCCUUUGUUAUGGAAGUAGACGCUUCAGAAUCAGGUGUAGGAGCCGUAUUAUCACAAAGACUAUCG